UCGGACGUUUUGCUUUCCGGAUGUUUACUUUGAGAAAAUUAGAGUGCUCAAAGCAGGCUUUUGCCUUGAAUAGUUUAGCAUGGAAUAAUAAAGUAGGACUUUGGUUCUAUUUUUAGG
rnacentral:rRNA from 1 species